UAAAACCAAAAUUUUUUUUAAUUUCAUUGGCAUCUUUGGCAAAAUAGCAACGUCCUAUGUAGUUGUAAAAGUUAUAAAACUCGCGCGAUCAACUGUUUUCUAUAAAUAUGGACGUAUAUAAAAAAUAAAUAUUGGCGAAUGAUUAUCAUUAGCGCACACGAUUCCACGUAUACUAUGAGAAUUACACGACGACGACGGCCGCUGCCGUUGCCGCUACAGUGGCGCCCACUUUUGCAUUACGCAUCCCCACACAGCCUCCUCUUGGUAUCAAUAGUAUAGCAGAGUAGUCUCUGAUAUGCGUGCGUAAGUUUGUCAUAAAUCGUUUUUUUUUUUCUUCUUCUACAAAUCAAAGUUUUGGCCACACUUACCAAUUACUUAAUUAACGCUAUAAGUUCGUCUUACAUGCGAUGAUGAUGGUUGUAUAUUUUUUCUGCGGUAACAUUGUGCAUUAUUAAGACACAGUAGAGUUUACACAAACUAUUGAAAAAUCAAUAACAUAUUUUGAACACUUUUUUUUAUCAAGCACGUACUUCGUUAACCAAUUGUGUAUGCCAGCGUAACGUAUGUAAUAGAAGUUGUUGUUAUGUGAACAUUAUAUUUUACAAUAAACCAAUGCGAUAAAUACAAACUUUCCAACUAUAUAGUGUUACUAGUUUUUGUUUGCAAAAAAGUGAUAAAUAUUAAA